rnacentral:rRNA from 1 species
GAUUUCUGGUUGGAUGCGCUUAGCCCGCCACGGUUUCGUGUGUGAGUGCUGAUGUGUGUCUACCAUCCUUCGAAUGCAUCCUCUUCUCUUCAUUGAGAUGGAGUGUGUGUCAUUCGAUCGUUUACUUUGAAAAAAUUAGAGUGUUUAAAGCAGGCAUGCCGCUAUGAAUACAUUAGCAUGGAAUAAUAAUUUAGGACUUCGGUUCUAUUUUGUUGGUUUCUAGGACUGAAGUAAUGAUUGAUAGGGAUAGUUGGGGGUGCUAGUAUUCAGUGGCCAGAGGUGAAAUUCUCGGAUUCCCUGAAGACUAACUUAUGCGAAAGCAUU